AGGAAUUCCCUGGAUUUUUUUAAUUUUUUAAUUUUUUUUUUUUUUUUUCCCCUUUGAGGUUUUUGGGGUUUUCUCGAAAUUUCCAUUCUGGAAAUGUUUCCAGUGCCACAUUCCAGACUUGGCUCCAGGGGGAUUUUUGUUGGAUCAGGAGAAUAUUUUGUGUUUUUCCUCGCUCCUGGCUCCUGUAAACUCCCCUUGAGAGGCAGCUGAUCAAACCACAUAAAAAAAAAAAAUCAGAUUAUUUUUCAUUUCCUGUCAAAAAUAACAACUGGGAUUUCACUGCUUUCCCCGUUUUUUUAUUCACUGUUGCUUUUAUUGAUUCGCUUUUUCCCAGUUUAUUUCUUCACUCUUCUUUUUAUUUAUUUACUCUUUUCUCAGUUUAUUUAUUCAUUGCUCUUUUUAUUUAUUCGCUCAUUUCCCUGUCUAUUUAUUCACUCUUCUUUUUUAUUUAUUUGCUCUUUUCUCAGUUUGUUUAUUCAUUUCUUCACUCUUUUCCCAGUUUAUUUAUUCACUUUCCUUCAAAUCCUGGCAUCCCAAAUUCUCCUUCAAAUCCAAGAAUCCCAAACUCUCACCCAAACCAGGAAUCCCAAAUUUUUCCCCUUCUGAGGAUUGGGGAUUUUUUGGGAAUCUCCCAGGUUCCCUCUCAAGGAUUGGGGAUUUUUUUUUUUUUUUGGGAAUUAAGUUGGAAAAGACGGAAAAGAAUCACCGAGUUAUUUCUGUUCUUUCUCAUCUCAAUCCUUCAUUUCCAAUUGGGAAUUAAGUUGGAAAAGACAGAAAAGAAUCACCGAGUUAUUUCUGUUCUUUCUCAUCUCAAUCCUUCAUUUCCAAACCCAAAAAUAAAAUAAAACACAAAACAAAACAAAAACCCAAAUCAAUCCCAAAAAAAUAAAAAAACCCCACAGUGCUGGUUACAAGUGCUAUGGUGAAAUAAUUAAAAUAAUGGGAUAAAGAAAAGGAUGAAAUAAUUAAAAUAAUGGAAUAAUUAAAAUAAUGAAAUAAUGAAAAUAAUGGAAUAAUGAAAAGAAUGAAAUCCCGAAUCUCAGCGUGCACAAAGGAAAAAUUCCCCAAAUUUUUGUGGGAAUGAUUCAAAAAAAUGAAAAUUCCCGUGAAAAGCAGCAGCAGCAAAGCUGGAGGAGCGGGGGAAGGAUUUGGGACUUUGGGGUUUGGGAUUUUGGGGCUUUUGGGAUUUGGGGUUUGGGAUUUUGGGGUUUGGGAUUGGGGAUUUGGGGUUUGGGGAUUUGGUAUUUGGUCCCCCCCCCCCCCCCCCCCCCCCCCCCCCCCCCCCCCCCCCCCCCCCCCCCCCC
rnacentral:lncRNA from 12 species